AAUUUCUUGAUUUUUGGUUCAAGUCUUCUCAUCUCAACUACUAGCCAAACUCAUCUAUGAUGUCCAGAGAACCGUGUUGCCUUGUUCAUAUUUGGAGAUUCAUCUUUAUCUUUCUUUGUUCCUACAGACGGCGCCAAUUCAUAAGUUGAGAUCUAAUAAAAGGUAAGAUUAGAAUAUAUGUGUGUGAGUUUAGUCUCGUUUACUCUCUCUCCUUCCAUUUAUCCCUUUCCUUUUUUUUUUAUCUUUUUAUAACGUAUAACCGUCAUCCUAUACCCCUAGGCUAUAUGUGUGUGAGUUUAGUCUCGUUUGCUCUCUCUCCUCUCCUUUAUCUUUUUUUUUUUAAUUUUUUUUAAUGUAUAACCGUCGUCUUAUACUCUUACACUCUGUCAUUUCCGCGCAGGACUAUAUGUACGAACGUUCUAUCCCAUUCCCAUCGUCAGACGGCUAUUUAAUACCCUUCAAUAUCACGCAGAUACGAUUCCGAACACUUGAGGGUUAGAUGCUUUGCGUAUCCAUCACCUCUAGUGGGAUGGACCUCUUUCUCAUGAGUCUGUUUCUUGUUGAGUCUAUCCUGUCCGAAUCAAAUCCGGACUGCAUACUAGUAGUCUGGCUUAGCCUGCACAUUAGAUUUGGAUGGUCUAUGACUUAGCUUUUCAAUAUGGGCCUGACCGCGGCCAAGUAUAAGAAUCCAGCAGUUAUCUA
rnacentral:lncRNA from 1 species